UUGACGAGUCGAGUUGUUUGGGAAUGCAGCUCCAAGCGGGUGGUAAAUUCCAUCUAAGGCUAAAUACUGGCGAGAGACCGAUAGCGAACAAGUACUGUGAAGGAAAGAUGAAAAGCACUUUGAAAAGAGAGUGAAACAGCACGUGAAAUUGUUGAAAGGGAAGGGUAUUGCGCCCGACAUGGAGCGUGCGCACCGCUGCCCCCCGUGGGCGGCGCUCUGGGCGCGCUCUGGGCCAGCAUCGGUUUCUGCCGCGGGAGAGGGGCGCGGGGCAUGUAGCUCUUUGGAGUGUUAUAGCCCCGCGCCUGCGCCGCGAGCGGGGACCGAGGUCUGCGACGCAAUCAC
rnacentral:rRNA from 1 species